rnacentral:rRNA from 1 species
GAUGAACGCUGGCGGCGUGCCUAAUACAUGCAAGUCGAGCGAACAGACGAGGAGCUUGCUCCUCUUACGUUAGCGGCGGACGGGUGAGUAACACGUGGAUAACCUACCUAUAAGACUGGGAUAACUUCGGGAAACCGGAGCUAAUACCGGAUAAUAUAUUGAACCGCAUGGUUCAAUAGUGAAAGACGGUUUUGCUGUCACUUAUAGAUGGUUCCGGGCCGCAUUAGCUAGUUGGUAAGGUAACGGCUUACCAAGGCAACGAUGCGUAGCCGACCUGAGAGGGUGAUCGGCCACACUGGAACUGAGACACGGUCCAGACUCCUACGGGAGGCAGCAGUAGGGAAUCUUCCGCAAUGGGCGAAAGCCUGACGGAGCAACGCCGCGUGAGUGAUGAAGGUCUUCGGAUCGUAAAACUCUGUUAUUAGGGAAGAAGAAAUGUGUAAGUAACUAUGGACGUCUUGACGGUACCUAAUCAGAAAGCCACGGCUAACUACGUG